UGCAUAUCAAAAAGCGGAGGAAAAGAAACCAACAGGGAUUGCCUCAGUAACGGCGAGUGAAGCGGCAAAAGCUCAAAUUUGAAAUCUAGCACCUUCGGUGUUCGAGUUGUAAUUUGAAGAUGGUAACCUUGGGUUUGGCUCUUGUCUAUGUUCCUUGGAACAGGACGUCAUAGAGGGUGAGAAUCCCGUCUGAUGAGAUGCCCAUUCCUAUGUAAGGUGCUAUCGAAGAGUCGAGUUGUUUGGGAAUGCAGCUCUAAGUGGGUGGUAAAUUCCAUCUAAAGCUAAAUAUUGGCGAGAGACCGAUAGCGAACAAGUACAGUGAUGGAAAGAUGAAAAGAACUUUGAAAAGAGAGUGAAAAAGUACGUGAAAUUGUUGAAAGGGAAGGGCAUUAGAUCAGACUUGGUGUUUUACGAUUAUCUUCUCUUCUUGAGUUGUGCACUCGUAUUUCACUGGGCCAGCAUCGAUUCGGAUGGCAAGAUAAUGGCAGUUGAAUGUGGCUUCACUUCGGUGGAGUGUUAUAGCUUCUGCUGAUAUUGCCUGUCUGGAUCGAGGGCUGCGUCUUUUGACUAGGAUGCUGGCGUAAUGAUCUAAUGCCGCCCGUCUUGAAACACGG
rnacentral:rRNA from 1 species